rnacentral:rRNA from 1 species
AACGUAGGUACCGAGCGUUAUCCGGAUUUACUGGGCGUAAAGCGCGUUCAGGCGGUUUGACAAGUCGGGCAUGAAAUCUCUCGGCUCAACCGGGAGAGGUUGUCCGAUACUGUCAGACUUGAGGGCAGUAGAGGGUGGUGGAGUUCCGGGUGUAGUGGUGAAAUGCGUAGAUAUCCGGAGGAACACCAGUGGCGAAGGCGACUACCUGGCCUGUUCUUGACGCUGAGGCGCGAAAGCUAGGGGAGCAAACGGG